rnacentral:rRNA from 1 species
AUUGAACGCUGGCGGCGUGCUUAACACAUGCAAGUCGUGCGGUAACAGGCGUAGCAAUACGUGCUGACGAGCGGCGAACAGGUGCGUAAUACAUGGGAAUCUGCCCUUUGGUGGGGAAUAACCCGGCGAAAGCCGGGCUAAUGCCGCAUAAGAUCUUCGGAUGAAAGCGGGGAGUCGUAAGACCUCGCGCCGAUGGAUGAGCCCACUGUCGGAUUAGUCAGUUGGUGAGGUAACAGCUCACCAAGGCGACGAUCCGUAGC